UGUAGUAGGGCAGUCUAGGUACCGCCCUAUUAAACGUGGUUUUCCACUGAAUGACAGGUGUGACAGCUUAUUGGCUGCUGCUCCGGGUGUAUUUAAGGCGCAGUUUGUCACCUGGGUACGCAUCGUACAAUCAUUGUGUGUGCGCGCAGCUCGCGGGAGGUAUGUAUCUUGCUGUUUGGCUAACGUUGCUGCUAGUGUCUGUGCACUAUUUGAGUGUGUACAUUGGUUUAUAGCCAGGUUAUGGUCACGAUUGGUAUGACGUUGCUGUUGGGUACCGGCUGUCCUUCACUCAAGUGUGUGCGUGCACUAGAACGCCUGCAUAUUUGAAGUUCGCCGAGUACGGAUAAAGCUGUGAGUAGCUGAACCUGUGUGUUUGACGAUCUACUUCUGGUGCCUCUGCUCGUGAGCACUUCGUUAUUGUGGACUGCAGGGCAAAUGCUCCUUAGACAGUGUCAAGACUGCACUGUUUUGUUCUGCUGCUAUUUUUACGACUGUGACUGUAUGUGAUUAUUACUUUCUGGAUUUGUUUUGUUUUACACGCUCCUGCUGGUGGCUUAGGUGGAGGGUGGCUAGUCCGAGCUGUCAUUUAAGGCAGGAUGUACCCUUAACGGUGCCUGCUUCGUUUCAUCAGUUGCCACCAGCAACGUGUUUGUUUGGUUUAAUGUUGAUUUGAGUUUCUUUUCUCUUUUUGCUGAAAGCUCCUUUCAGCUUUAAGUUUGUUAACUUGUGUUUUUUUUGUAUUUUCUGUGAUUUAAUUUGAAGUCUGCUGUUUUCAAUUGUGUUGUUUGCUUUAUUUAUUUUUGGUUUUGUUCUCUUUAACAACUUGCUGCUUUAUGGCAUGUCUAGGUUCAUGAGCUUUUGGUAUGAACCUAGUUGAGUAUUUCCAUCUCUUUGACCCUUGUGGCCAGUGAAUUGUCCAUUGUUGUUCCCCUUCGUGGUGUGAACUUAUUUUAUUGCAAGUUGUUAGACUGAAUGUGAGUUAAACUAAUUGUGUUUUUUUACAUUUCCCUUUUUUUUUGUUUAUUUCAGGAGUUGGAGGCCCCCAGUGAGGGAAGCUAGCUGUCUUGGCCCUGUGGUGGUGGUGUUUCUUUCACCGUGUUUUUGCCAUUGAUAUUUGUGUCUCCCUCACUUAGUGUGUGGUGUGGCGUGAGUGUUUGUGUGGGGCGUAUUUGGGUGAGUGG